rnacentral:rRNA from 1 species
GACGAGCGCUGGCGGCGUGCCUAAUACAUGCAAGUCGAGCGGACUUUCAAGAAGCUUGCUUUUUGAAAGUUAGCGGCGGACGGGUGAGUAACACGUGGGCAACCUGCCUGUAAGACGGGGAUAACUCCGGGAAACCGGGGCUAAUACCGGAUAAUAUCUUUCUUCGCAUGAAGGAAGGUUGAAAGGCGGCGCAAGCUGCCGCUUGCAGAUGGGCCCGCGGCGCAUUAGCUAGUUGGGUAGGUAACGGCUCACCAAGGCGACGAUGCGUAGCCGACCUGAGAGGGUGUUCGGCCACACUGGGACUGAGACACGGCCCAGACACCUACGGGAAGAAGCAGUAGGGAAUCGUCCGCAAUGGACGAAAGUCUGACGGAGCAACGCCGCGUGAGCGAAGAAGGUCUUCGGAUCGUAAAGCUCUGUUGUCAGGGAAGAACAAGUACCGUUCGAAUAGGGCGGUACCUUGACGGUACCUGACCAGAAAGCCACGGCUAACUACGUGCCAGCCGCCGCGGUAA